rnacentral:pre_miRNA from 1 species
GGGAGGAACAACCCCAGUGGCGGCAGCCAGCUCUGGAGCCCUGGAGUCAGCUCCUGCAGUAACUAAAGAGCUCUCCGUCUGCAGGGCCUGGAGGCUCCGGGGCGGG